CAGCAGUUGGAUUGACACUUUUUAUUUACACACCACAUCAUACUAGAUUGUGACCUAUUGGACGUAAUAUUCUGUGUGGAUUCCCAAGAAGAUUUCCGGAUAAAGAAAAGAUAAAAGAUUGGAUUCAUAUUUUGACAAACGAUAGGUCAUUCUUUCGAAGAAUCAACCCGGACGAUACCAUGUUUCAAUGAAAUAUGCUCCAAGGCAUAAAAUAAUGACCUGUGUGAGAUCACCAGGCCAAACCAAAAACGAAGUGGAAGAACAUUGACACUCAAAACGCCCAAUAGUUGUACCAAAAACGGCUUAGGCUAGUAUAUCGUAACGUUCAGGUAAACAAGUCGUAAUUAAAAUUGGUUGACCGAUAUGGAAUAACUUGUCAGCCGCAUAUGACCGCGAAUAUUAAUAUUAAACGUAAUCCCAGCACUGCUCUCGUUCAUUCAUUUAUGACAUCUACGCUAGCCAAGGAUAACCACAUUGUACUUACCAUGGAUGAUAAUAGAUAUGUUUAUAUGGGAGCUUAAUUGCUCCCUCCUCGGAAACACUUACGUUCACACUUUUUUUGGUGAGUUUCAUGAUUCUCAUUUUCCAGUUUUCUGUUUACUUGUAUAAUGUUUCGAUUAUUUUUAGCCAUGCUGUUAUUCGACAUUUUUUUAUUUAUUUCCAACUUGGUGUCUCUUAUUUGUUUGUUUUGAGAAGAUUCUUUAACUCCCAACUUCAUAAUACCGGUAUUAAGGAUGACAAAACAAUAUAAAAAGUAAACACUAUUUAAUCAUAUAACAUACUAUAAAGAAGGUCACCAACUCAAGAUACUGGUCCGUACAUGUACCUGACACAACACAAGAAAAAAAAACAUUAUUGCUCAUUGUAUCAGGUCCGUUAAACAUUAUAUUCACAUCUAAAUGCAAGAUAAAGAUAGCCUAUAUCUCUGGUUUGAACGGGAUUGCUUGUUAAAGAAAGAUCACGCGUCAUAUGUUCAUUAAAAACUACAAUUUGGAUAAUCGACUGUUUCUAAUCGAGUACCUCUGGUGAGUCAAAUGUAUACGAAACGCGUGUACUAAAUGAUAUCCCGGUAUAUUUUAUGAAUUUUUACAGGACAUAAUAUUUAUAGGAAAAAUAUUUCGCACGCACUGCUAAUAACUGACAAACAAACAAGCCAAAAAAAAAACUAACUAAAUAGGUACACAUAAAAAACGGAUACAUAAAAGGAUGACCAACAUCGUGGCAGAAGUGAACCGAAAAGCCGUUUUAAAAAUCCUUAUUGGAAGUUUUUCAGGUCAAUAAUUUACCUAAAUGUUUAAAAUUAACAUAUGUUGCAUUCAAAGGCAAUGUACAUAAUAAUGUAUUAUAUAAGAGAGGCUAAAGAUAUAAAAGGGACAUUCAAACUCAUAUCAUUAGUGGAAAACAACUCACAAUAUAUGCCAUGGCAAAAAACGAAAGACGAUCAAAAGACAUAGAAAAUGCAACAUAGAAAUCCUAAGACUGAGCAUCACGAACCCCAUCAAAAACCUGUAGGUAGGCAAUCUUGCUCCACAUUUGGCAUCUGUCGUGUUGCUAAUGUAAAUUAGAAAAAAAGGAUGAUAAGUCUAUUUUGUAGGUUCCAUUCUAGGAAAAGAGGACGUGAUGGUGGUUACGUUGAUUGGAACAUAUCCGUUGUCAUCUGUGAAACAGAU